GACGAACGCUGGCGGCGUGCUUAACACAUGCAAGUCGAACGAGUGGCGGACGGGUGAGUAAUGUCUGGGAAACUGCCUGAUGGAGGGGGAUAACUACUGGAAACGGUAGCUAAUACCGCAUACCAUCAGAUGUGCCCAGAUGGGAUUAGCUUGUUGGUGGGGUAACGGCUCACCAAGGCGACGAUCCCUAGCUGGUCUGAGAGGAUGACCAGCCACACUGGAACUGAGACACGGUCCAGACUCCUACGGGAGGCAGCAGUGGGGAAUAUUGCACAAUGGGCGCAAGCCUGAUACAGCCAUGCCGCGUGUAUGAAGAAGGCCUUCGGGUUGUAAAGUACUUUCAGCGGGGAGGCGUUACCCGCAGAAGAAGCACCGGCUAACUCCGUGCCAGCAGCCGCGGUAAUAC
rnacentral:rRNA from 1 species